UCAAGUUAUUAAGGGUGCAGGGCGGAUGCCUUGGCACUAGGAGCCGAUGAAGGACGUGAUAAGCUGCGAUAAGCUUCGGGGAGUUGCACGUAAACUUUGAUCCGAAGAUUUCCGAAUGAGGAAACUCACUUAGAGUAAUGUCUAAGUAUCAUUAAGUGAAUACAUAGCUUAAUGAGGGGAACUCAGGGAACUGAAACAUCUAAGUACCUGAAGGAAGAGAAAGAAAUUCGAUUCCGUAAGUAGCGGCGAGCGAACGCGGAUUAGCCCAAACCAAUAAAGUUUUCUUUGUUGGGGUUGCGGACAUAUCAUAACGAAGAGGUAUCGUAAUUGAAGAGGUUUGGAAAGACCCACCACAGAAGGUAAUAGUCCUGUAUGUUAAACGAGAAGACUUCAGAUAUGAUCCAGAGUACCACGGGACACGUGAAACCCUGUGGGAAGCAGGAGGGACCACCCUCCAAGGCUAAAUACUACCUAGUGACCGAUAGCGUAUAGUACCGUGAGGGAAAGGUGAAAAGAACCCCGGGAGGGGAGUGAAAUAGAACCUGAAACCCUGCACUUACAAGCUGUGGAAGCACAUUUCUUGUGUGACCGCGUACUUUUUGUAGAACGGGCCAACGAGUUACGUUAAGUAGCAAGGUUAAGCACUUAAGGUGCGGAGCCGUAGCGAAAGCGAGUUUUAACUGAGCGUUCAGUUACUUGACGUAGACCCGAAACCGGGCGACCUACCCAUGAGCAGGAUGAAGCGAAAGUAAAAUUUCGUGGAGGUCCGAACCCACGAGCGUUGAAAAGCUCGGGGAUGACUUGUGGGUAGCGGUGAAAUUCCAAUCGAGCCCGGAGAUAGCUGGUUCUCCCCGAAAUAGCUUUAGGGCUAGCCUCAAGGUGAGAGAUACGGAGGUAGAGCACUGAAUGUCCUAGGGGGUAUUGCACCUACCGAAGACUAUCAAACUCCGAAUGCCGUCAUCUUAUACUUGGGAGUCAGACUGUGGGUGAUAAGAUUCAUAGUCGAAAGGGCAACAGCCCAGAUCGUCAGCUAAGGUCCCUAAAUGUAAGUUAAGUGGUAAAGGAUGUGGGAUUGCACAGACAACCAGGAUGUUGGCUUAGAAGCAGCCACUCAUUCAAAGAGUGCGUAAUAGCUCACUGGUCGAGUGAUCCUGCGCCGAAGAUUUCCGGGGCUAAAACUUACUACCGAAGCUACGGCAUCAGUAAUGAUGGGUAGGGGAGCUUCCCAUACGGGUUGAAGCAUGACCGUAAGGACAUGUGGACAGUAUGGGAGUGAGAAUGUUGGCAUGAGUAGCGAGAUGUGGGUGAGAAUCCCACAGGCCGUAAACCCAAGGUUUCCAGGGGAAGGUUCGUCCGCCCUGGGUUAGUCGGGACCUAAGCUGAGGCCGAAAGGCGUAGGUGAUGGACAACAGGUUGAUAUUCCUGUACUACCGAUAACCGUUUGAGAGAAGGGAUGACACAGUAGGAUAAGCUAAGCACACUGUUGGUUAUGUGUGCCCAAGCAUUGAGGCAGUCAAAGCAGGCAAAUCCGCUUUGAUAAUGCUGGGAUGUGAUGGGGAGCGAAAUUUAGUAGCGAAGUAGCUGAUUUCACACUGUCAAGAAAAGUCUCUAUCGAGGUUAAAGGUACCCGUACCGCAAACCGACACAGGUGGGUGAGGAGAGUAUCCUAAGGCCAGCGAGAGAACUGUUGUUAAGGAACUCGGCAAAAUGACCCCGUAACUUAGGGAUAAGGGGUGCCACCAUCAGGUGGCCGCAGAGAAUAGGCCCAAGCGACUGUUUACCAAAAACAUAGGUUUCUGCUAAGUCGCAAGACGAUGUAUAGGAGCUGACGCCUGCCCGGUGCUGGAAGGUUAAGGGGAUCUGUUAGAGCAAUCGAAGCAGUGAACUUAAGCCCCAGUAAACGGCGGCCGUAACUAUAACGGUCCUAAGGUAGCGAAAUUCCUUGUCGGGUAAGUUCCGACCCGCACGAAAGGCGUAACGAUUUGGGCACUGUCUCAACAACAGACUCGGUGAAAUUGUAAUUCCGGUGAAGAUGCCGGAUACCUGCGACAGGACGGAAAGACCCCAUGGAGCUUUACUGUAGCUUGACAUUGGGUCUUGGUACUACAUGUACAGGAUAGGUGGGAGGCUUUGAAACCAGGACGCCAGUUUUGGCGGAGCCAUCCUUGGGAUACCACCCUUGUAGUACUGGGACUCUAACCAUAGGCCAUGAAUCUGGUCUUGGGACACUGUCAGGUGGGCAGUUUGACUGGGGCGGUCGCCUCCCAAAAGGUAACGGAGGCGCUCAAAGGUUCUCUCAGUACGGUCGGAAAUCGUACGUAGAGUGUAAAGGCAAAAGAGAGCUUGAUUGCAAGACAUACAGGUCGAGCAAGGAUGAAAAUCGGACUUAGUGAUCCGGUGGUUCUGCGUGGAAGGGCCAUCGCUCAACGGAUAAAAGCUACCCUGGGGAUAACAGGCUUAUCUCCCCCAAGAGUCCACAUCGACGGGGAGGUUUGGCACCUCGAUGUCGGCUCAUCACAUCCUGGGGCUGUAGUAGGUCCCAAGGGUUGGGCUGUUCGCCCAUUAAAGUGGUACGCGAGCUGGGUUCAGAACGUCGUGAGACAGUUCGGUCCCUAUCCGUCGCAGGCGUAGGAAAUUUGAGAAGACCUGUCCUUAGUACGAGAGGACCGGGAUGGACGUACCUCUGGUGUACCAGUUGUUCUGCCAAGGGCAUGGCUGGGUAGCUAUGUACGGAAUGGAUAAGCGCUGAAAGCAUCUAAGCGCGAAGCCAACUUCAAGAUAAGAUUUCCCACCGCAAGGGUAAGACCCCAGAAAGACUAUCUGGUUGAUAGGUCGAAGGUGUAAGUGCAGCAAUGUAUUUAGCUUAUCGAUACUAAUAGGUCGAGGACUUGACCAA
rnacentral:rRNA from 1 species